rnacentral:rRNA from 1 species
UACGUAGGGUGCAAGCGUUGUCCGGAAUUAUUGGGCGUAAAGAGCUCGUAGGCGGUUUGUCGCGUCUGCUGUGAAAACUGGGGGCUCAACCUCCAGCCUGCAGUGGGUACGGGCAGACUAGAGUGCGGUAGGGGAGAUUGGAAUUCCUGGUGUAGCGGUGGAAUGCGCAGAUAUCAGGAGGAACACCGAUGGCGAAGGCAGAUCUCUGGGCCGUAACUGACGCUGAGGAGCGAAAGCAUGGGGAGCGA